AGCAUUGCGCAGUGGCAGUAUCGUAGUAUUGCUAGUUGAGAACUUUACCCAAUACCGCGCCUUGACGGCUUGAAGUACAGCCGGCUACGGCAAUUUUAUGACUUUAUCUACGGAGACCAAUUUAUAUGUUAAAAUAA
rnacentral:snRNA from 1 species